AAAUCCCUGUGCCAACUACGUGCUUAGUGUAUAGAGGAGAUUCAUAUACAGAAUAAUCAUGUUUCUUGUAAUAAGUCUUUCAAUCAUGGAUGCAAAGAAUCUGAUAGCAAGUUCAGUGUCAUUAUUUACCUUGAGGAAAUUGAUAACGAAGGUCUUGGACGGCACUAAAUACACAUCAAGCAUUAGAUGAGGAUCGCAGCGUAAAAAAAAUUGUUGGUGAUUCUACGAUAUGG